GUUCACCCUGCUGAGAGAAGGGGCAAGAAAUAGCGAAUAGAGAGAAGGGGCUCACAAUAGUGAAUUAUAACUCCCUCCUGCAACUAAGGAGAGUUGCUAGUUUACAAAUGUUCAUUGGCAGAGAUAGAUGAACUAAGAACAUCUUGCUGAAAACUUACCAUUACUAACACCCCUGAUGUUUACAUGAAAGGGUAACCGCUCUGGAGGACAAGUAGUUGCUGCAAGUGUAGGCGUUUUGUGAGGAAGAAGAGUGUGUAAGAUCGGGAUUUACUGUUUUGAAAUUGCCCUUUUUACUGCCAUGUCCUAUUUUAGGUUGCCAGUCUCAGCAUUUGGUGAAGAGACUUGUCGAUCAUUUGUAGAUGGUAUAGCUGAAGAAUAUAAUUGGGGGUGGGAAGACGGGAAAAAUCGCAUUGCAGAUUUCCUCGAAUUCCUUGAUGUGGCAGAAUGCCAAGGUUCAUGCUAAUAAUGCCAGUUUAGGAGAUUGGCGAGCCACUGCUUGGUCAGGUCUUCUUAGAGCAGAUUAGGCUUCUGUGGAGAUUAAGGGUCUUGGUGGAUAGGGAGAGAGUGCAUCAAUUGAAGAAAAACUAAAUUGUCAAAUGCUAUAAGAGGAAAUGGCAAAUAUUGGCCAAGUUUCUCCUCCGGCCAAGUAUAGGAAGUGAGGCAGAUGACGUACAGCUGAAGUCCAUUGUAAGUGAUGAAAGAAUCUCAUAAUUACUCCAUGCAUGGUCGGGAGUGUUGGGGCAGAGGAGAGGUUGAACAGCUACAUUCUUAUAACAAACAAGAGCCUGGAGUUGGUCUGACAUUGCUGAUCCCAGGAUUGUUUUCCCUGGUGCACUGGAGACUGAGAUGUAACCUGAUUGAUGUUUAUAAAAUGGUGAGUAGGGUAGAUAGUCGUAGAUGGGAGUGUAAAUACUAGAGGGCAUAGCUUUAAGGUGAAGAAAGAAGAUUUGCAAAGCUUUUUUUUACACAGAGAAUGAUUGGUGCCUAGAACGCGCUGCCAGGGCAGAUAGUAGAAUCAGAUAUGAUAGCUACUUUUAAACAGUCACAUGAACAUGCAGGGAAUAGAGGGAUGCAGACCAUAUGCAAACAGAUUGGAUGCAUUUAGACUGGCAUCAUAGUCAGAGCUUAGUGCUGGUGGGCCUAAGGGCCAGUUCUUGAGCUGCACUGUUCUAUAUGUAAUUGUACAAAUAAAAAGGACCUUUCGCUUGGUGGUGGCUCUUUCUUCAUUUUUAGAUUUCCAAUGAAAGUAAGCAACCUCAAUAUUAAGUGAUAACCUGGUCUAAAACAAUCUCGUUAAUGGAAAUGGCAAAAUAAAAACUGUGUUUAGUGUUGUUCCUGAAUCUUACGCUGUUGUUGAUGAAGGAGCUUUUUUUAAAUUGGAGAUUUAAAAUAGAUUUACCUGCAGGCGAGAGAACAGAGUUGGCAGCAGUUGUGGCAAAAUGGUUGGAGCUUACAAAAUAAUUUAAAACCAUAUAUAAAGAGGAGCUCUGGCAAGAAAACCUUGGCAAAGGGUAGCCUUUAUUAACGGCACUCCCAAGAUUAGAAAUUGUUUAUGGCAGAGGUUAAUAAGGAUCAGUCGAAGAAAACUUGUUGAGCCAAGCAAGGAAAUGAAUUCAGAUUAUACAAAAUGGUGAGGGCAAAAGAGGUAAAAGCAAUAAAGAAUGCUAUUUUUGUCAGUGGAAAGUGCAGAAGCAGACAGUGCUGAACAUGAUGUGACAGUUCAACAAUUUAUAUAAGGAAAUGCUGAUAUAGGGGCAAAGAGUUUCACCUCAGGAUUGGAGAGGGUAAUAAAAUUAACAUCUGCAACUGGACACCUGAACAUGGACAAAAAUCAGAAUAAGCAAACAGAAUGAAGGAGAGUCCUACAGGG